rnacentral:rRNA from 1 species
AUAGCGCAUAGUACCGUGAGGGAAAGGUGAAAAGAACCCCGGGAGGGGAGUGAAAAAGAACCUGAAACCCUGUGCUUACAAGCACUGAGAGCACGUCAAAGUGUGAUCAGGUACCUUUUGUAGAAUGGUCCGGCGAGUUAUCGUAUGCAGCAAGGUUAAGAACUUAAGGUUUGAAGCCGAAGCGAGAGCAAGUCUGAAAAGGGCAUCAAGUUGCAUGCGAUAGACCCGAAACCGAGUGACCUAGCCAUGUCCAGGCUGAAGUGGAGGUAAAACUCCAUGGAGGGCCGAACCGACCCCCGUUGAAAAGGUGGCGGAUGAGGUGUGGCUAGCGGAGAAAUUCCAAUCGAACUCGGAUAUAGCUGGUUCUCCCCGAAAUAGCUUUAGGGCUAGCGUUGUAUUAGAUUACCGGAGGUAAAGCACUGAAUGGGCUAGGGGCCGAAAGGUUACUGAACCUUAUCAAACUAAGAAUGCCGGAUAAUUGAUGUACAGCAGUCAGACUGUGUGAGAUAAGUCUCACAGUCGAAAGGGAAACAGCCCAGACCCACAGCUAAGGUCCCAAAAUAGAUUUAAGUGGAAAAGGAUGUGGGGUUGCACAGACAACCAGGAUGUUGGCUUAGAAGCAGCCACUCAUUAAAAGAGUGCGUAAUAGCUCACUGGUCGAGUGACCCUGCGCCGAAAAUUCAACGGGGCUAAAAUCUAUACCGAAGCUUGGGCUGCAAUUGAAAGAUUGCGGGGUAGGGGAGCGUCGUAUAAGAGGAGAAGUCAUAGCGGAAGCGAUGGUGGAUUUUAUACGAGUGAGAAUGCCGGAAUGAGUAGCGAGAAUUAUGUGAGAAUCAUAAUGGCCGAAAAUCUAAGGAUUUAGGAGGAAGGUUCGUCCGCUCCUAGUAAGCCGGGAGCUAAGGCGAGGCGGAAACGCGUAGCCGAUGCACAUACGGUAGAAAUUCCGUAGCCUCUGAAAGAUUUAAGCACAAGGACACUUGAGAAGCGUUUAUCCGGGAGUUGGUAUUCCCGGUCGUAAGGGACCCCGAAUGGGGGAAGUAAAUGUGGAUUGAGGCAAGAAAAGUUGUGUGAAUAUCUGAAGAGCCCGUACCGCAAACCGACACAGGUAGAUAGGAAGAGAAUUCUAAGGCCAACGGGAGAAGGGUUGUUAAGGAACUCGGCAAGUUGACUCCGUAACUUAGGGAGAAGGAGUGCUCGAAAGAGCCGCAGAGAAUAGGCCCAAGCGACUGUUUAGCAAAAACACAGCUCUAUGCUAAAUCGAAAGAUGACGUAUAUGGGGUGACACCUGCCCGGUGCUGGAAGGUUAAGAGGAGAAGUGAGAGCUUUGAAUCGAAGCCCCAGUAAACGGCGGCCGUAACUAUAACGGUCCUAAGGUAGCGAAAUUCCUUGUCAGGUAAGUUCUGACCCGCACGAAUGGCGUAACGAUUUGGGCACUGUCUCAACAGCCCGCCCGGCGAAAUUGUAGUACCGGUGAAGAUGCCGGUUACCCGCGACUAGACGGAAAGACCCCAUGGAGCUUCACUGUAGCUUAAUAUUGGAUUUUGGUAUUUCAUGUACAGGAUAGGUGGGAGACUGAGAAGCAAAGGCGUCAGCUUUUGUGGAGUCGCUGUUGGGAUACCACUCUUGAAGUGCUGAAAUUCUAACCUGCGCCCUUGAAUCAGGGCGGGGGACAUUGUUAGGUGGGCAGUUUGACUGGGGCGGUCGCCUCCUAAAGAGUAACGGAGGCGUUCAAAGGUUCGCUCAGCUUGAACGGAAAUCAAGCAAAAGAGUGCAAACGCAGAAGCGAGCCUAACUGCGAGACUGACGGGUCGAGCAGUAACGAAAGUUGGAGUUAGUGAUCCGGCGGUAUGUGAGUGGAAAUGCCGUCGCUCAACGGAUAAAAGCUACCCUGGGGAUAACAGGCUGAUCU